GGACUACUGGGGUAUCUAAUCCUGUUCGCUCCCCACACUUUCGCUCCUCAGCGUCAGAACAUUCCCAGAGAACCGCCUUCGCCACCGGUGUUCCUCCUGAUAUCUGCGCAUUUCACCGCUACACCAGGAAUUCCGUUCUCCCCUGAAUGCCUCAAGUCUGCCCGUAUCGAAAGCAAGCUCCGAGUUAAGCCCGAAGUUUUCACUCCCGACGCGACAAACCGCCUACGAGCCCUUUACGCCCAAUAAUUCCGGACAACGCUCGGACCCUACGUAUUACCGCGGCUGCUGGCAC
rnacentral:rRNA from 1 species